rnacentral:rRNA from 1 species
GACGAACGCUGGCGGCGUGCUUAACACAUGCAAGUCGAACGGAAAGGCCCUGCUUUUGUGGGGUGCUCGAGUGGCGAACGGGUGAGUAAAACGUGAGUAACCUGCCCUUGACUUUGGGAUAACUUCAGGAAACUGGGGCUAAUACCGGAUAGGAGCUCAUGCUGCACGGUGGGGGUUGGAAAGUUUCGGCGGUAGGGGAUGGACUCGCGGGUUAUCAGCUUGUUGGUGGGGUAGUGGCUUACCAAGGCUUUGACGGGUAGCCGGCCUGAGAGGGUGACCGGCCACAUUGGGACUGAGAUACGGCCCAGACUCCUACGGGAGGCAGCAGUGGGAAAUAUGGCGCAAUGAGCGGGAGCCUGAUGCAGCAACGCCGCGUGCGGGAUGACGGCCUUCGGGUUGUAAACCGCUUUCGCCUGUGACGAAGCGUGAGUGACGGUAAUGGGUAAAGAAGCACCGGCUAACUACGUG